rnacentral:rRNA from 1 species
UACGGAGGGUGCGAGCGUUGUCCGGAAUCACUGGGCGUAAAGGGCGCGUAGGUGGCACGGGUAGUCGUCGGUGAAAGCUCAGGGCUCAACCCUGAGUCGGCCGGUGAUACUCCCGAGCUCGAGUGUGGUAGAGGCCAAUGGAAUUCCGGGUGUAGCGGUGGAAUGCGUAGAGAUCGGAAGGAACAUCAGUGGCGAAGGCGACACUCUGGUCUGACACUGACGCUGAGGUGCGAAAGCGUGGGUAGCAAACAGG